CCUACGGGAGGCAGCAGUGGGGGAUAGUGCACAAUGGGGGAAACCCUGAUGCAGCGACGCCGCGUGAGUGAAGAAGUAUUUCGGUAUGUAAAGCUCUAGCAGCAGGGAAGAAAAUGACAGUACCUGACCAAGAAGCCACGGCUAACUACGGGCCAGCAGCCGCGGUAAGACGUAGGGGGCAAGCGUUAUCCGGAUUUACGGGGUGUAAAGGGAGCGUAGACGGGUUUGUAAGUCUGGAGUGAAAGCCCGGGGCCCCACCCCGGGACUGCUUUGGAAACUGUGUAACUGGAGUACAGGAGGGGCAGUCGGUCUUCCUGUUGUAGCGGUGCCCUGCGUAGCU
rnacentral:rRNA from 1 species